rnacentral:misc_RNA from 1 species
GAUGAAGAACGUAGUGAAAUGCGAUAAGUAAUGUGAAUUGCAGAAUUCAGUGAAUCAUCGAAUCUUUGAACGCACCUUGCACCCUUUGGCAUUCUGAAGGGUAUGCUCGUUUGAGUGUCAUUGUACUCUCACACUCCCGAUCUUUGCAUUGGGAGCAGUGGACUUGGGUUUGCUGCUUCACCGUCGCUUACCUCAAAUAGGUUAGUGCAACUCUUGGUUGGACAUAGUACGGCGUGAUAAGUGUUCUUCGCCGGUGCCUCGCAAAGAGGGUGGCCGAUCGGGAUGUUGUGCUCCAAACCGUCUUCGGACAAUCUCUGACGACUUGACCUCAAAUCGAGUAAGACUACCCGCUGAACUUAAGCAUAUCAAUAAGCGGGAGGA